GACGAACGCUGGCGGCGUGCUUAACACAUGCAAGUCGAACGGAAAGGCCCUGCUUGCAGGGUACUCGAGUGGCGAACGGGUGAGUAACACGUGGGUGAUCUGCCCUGCACUUCUGGAUAAGCUUGGGAAACUGGGUCUAAUACCGGAUAGGACAGCACUUCAGCGUGUGUGGUGGAAAGUUUUUUCGGUGUAGGAUGAGCUCGCGGCCUAUCGGCUUGUUGGUGGGGUAAUGGCCUACCAAGGCGGCGACGGGUAGCCGGCCUGAGAGGGUGUACGGCGACAUUGGGACUGAGAUACGGCCCAGACGCCGACGGGUGGCAGCAGUGGGGAAUAUUGCACAAUGGGCGCCAGCCUGAUGCAGCGACGCCGCGGGGGGGAUGAAGGCCUUCGGGUUGUAAACUCCUUUCGCUAGGGACGAAGCUUUUUGUGACGGUACCUAGAGAAGAAGCACCGGCUAACUACGUG
rnacentral:rRNA from 1 species